UGUGGGGAAGCGAGAAUCAAAUGCUCCUAAAGGGACCAUCUUCGCCUCCGCUUGCAGUGACAGAAAAUCAGGAUAAGGCGCAGAAGCGGAGGCGUGCGACUCGACCAAGAGAGACACAAAAGAUCUUUGCGAGGGAUAACAUCAGGAACUCUCAAGAAGAUCUGCUGGUCAGGAGAGUUCAAGCCUGCCAAUUGCAAUGGCAUCGUGUGAGGAAGAGGAAGAGGAAGAGAAGGAAGAGGAAGAAGAAGAAGAAGAAGAGGAAGAAGUAAAGAAGAGGAGGAAGAGGAAGAGGAAGAUGGAUGAUGAUGAUGAUGAUGAUUGAUGAUGAUUUACUGCUCUAUACAAGCAAAAGAAGACCAAGGGCUUAAUCCAGAGAUUAAUUUAGAGAGGCAUAGAACAAGAGACACAUCCAGAAAAGUGCAGAUAGGCAUCUGGUACUUUGAGAUAUACUGGCUCUGGGUUUGGAAGUUUCAUUUGUCUUUCACGGCCUAUAA